rnacentral:rRNA from 1 species
UACGUAGGGGGCAAGCGUUGUCCGGAUUUAUUGGGCGUAAAGAGCGUGUAGGCGGCUUUACAGGUCCGUUGUGAAAACUCGAGGCUCAACCUCGAGACGCCGGUGGAAACCGUAAGGCUAGAGUCCGGAAGAGGAGAGUGGAAUUCCUGGUGUAGCGGUGAAAUGCGCAGAUAUCAGGAGGAACACCCGUGGCGAAAGCGGCUCUCUGGGACGGUACUGACGCUGAGCCGCGAAAGCGUGGGGAGCGAACAGG